rnacentral:rRNA from 1 species
UACGGGGGGAGCAAGCGUUGUUCGGAUUUACUGGGCGUAAAGGGCGCGUAGGCGGCCACGACAAGUCACUGGUGAAAUCUCCGGGCUUAACCCGGAACGGUCAAGUGAUACUGUCGGGCUAGAGUGCAGAAGGGGCAACUGGAAUUCUCGGUGUAGCGGUGAAAUGCGUAGAUAUCGAGAGGAACACCUGAGGUGAAGACGGGUUGCUGGGCUGACACUGACGCUGAGGCGCGAAAGCCAGGGGAGCAAACGGG